UUCCAGCUUCCAUGCACAGCUGAGGCUCUGCUGGCCUGGCCAGCUUGAUUAAGAGGAAAUGGGGCUGCAGAAGGCCUCUUCCAGGUCUUGGAGUCCCUGCCUUGGGUUGAUCCUCCACAGCAACCAGGCUAACACCUCUCUUCCUUCCUGGAAGCCCCGGACUCUGAGCAAAGGGGCCUGGCAUUUUCCUCUGCCAUCCUGGGGACGUCACUCUGACAACCACGGACAUGUGGUUUCCUGGGCCGAUGAAGCCAGGCUGAAAUCAAGACCCCUUCCUAGGUGAUGUUCCCAGCAAACUGCCGAGGUCUUGACUGCCCGAGAGGCACACAAGAUCUCCAGGGCUCCAAUAAUUUGCUAUUUCUUACCCUUUCUAAAUACUCACUUUCAUGUCUGUUUUUA